rnacentral:miRNA from 1 species
CCCUCCCCCCCCGCGGGGCGAGGGCGGGGGAGGAGGGAGGGGCCGUCUCCGCCCCGCCCCCCGCA